UCGCCCGACAAGCGGGGUCCCCCUCCUACUGCUUCACUCGACCGCCGGACUCUCGCCCCUUCCCUCUCUACGACUUCCACGCGUUUCUCCUCUUGUCCCUACGACCCUUCCUGCCCCACUACUUUGUCGUGUGGCGCGCCCCUUGCGUCGCCUCGCGAACUUCAACCGAGCUACCUAUCCCCACCAAACGUCUGGCCAAGCAGUGAAAGAGAGUCAACGCGAGGAAGAGAAGCACGCACACGCUACGUAUAAGAGAGAGAUGGAUGGAACGAGAAUGCAGCGCAUGCGCAGUGCAUCAGUCGCGGCACGCGGUCGCGCCCAAACGCAUCUUCUCGCGAUUCUCAUAUUGAUGUACUACGCGCUUGCACUCACGGCGAACCGAUUGGGUGCCUCGCGAAUACCGAACAACUCAUACGUGAAGGAUGAACGAAACAGCAUCUCGUUAAGAAAUCGCUGCCAGAUAUACAACCGCUACGCACCUUCGGUUGAGUUACUUUGAAAGCGUUCAAGAAUUCGAUCAGCGACAGAUCACCGACACGCGUGACAAGGAGUUGAAUAUCCUGUUCUGUUACCGUCUACGCGCGACGGAGAAACGUCGGCGCGCAGCCGAGAGACUCGGCGAACUCGAGCCAUCCUCGCCUCCUUUCUUCACCCUUCUACGCCACUAGCUGGAUGUGAGUUACCGCGCUACGGAAUGGACUCGUCGAAUUAUUUUCGUUGAAUGCCACCGCGGUAUCGGUUUCGCGAUCGCGAAACUGCCAGAGGGAUGAUAUUAAAAUUGAAAUGGGCUCGAACGAUGCCUCGAUUCUUUGGAAAGGGGCUUUAAAUAAAGGACUUUGCUGCCAACUUUCUUCCGCGUGGAUACGCCGCGCGCGGCUUUCUUUGCCUUUCAACGCACGACACUGACCAUCCCUGUGUCUCUUGAAAAAUUCAACGAAUCCAGUAGAACGAUCCUGGCUCACGGUUAAUUGGCCUCCGACACUCCAUUUCGCAAAUUGCAAAAAGCAAUGCCAGGAUACUGUUGUACGUAGGUGCUGGCGUCGAGUGGCUGCAGCUUGUUACUGGAAAAUCGCUGGGACGGACGAAAGGAAUUCGAACGAUGGACGCGCUUACGCGUGUGACCAAGUGCAUCGUGCAGGGAAUCAGAAAUUAAGUCUGCUGGCAUGGCUGAUGUUGAACAAUUGUUAGUUUCGUUGGAAACACGGAAUUCUCUGUUUUCAUCUCUUCCGAACAACUUCCUGACAAAGUGGCUCGUUCUCAAGUGGAACGCAGUCGACGGCAACGAGUCCGAAAACACGAGGCAAACGUUGUGUCUGGCGAGCGGAAGGCACGCGUCUCCUUUGGCUUCGUAAUCUAAGCGGAGAGCGAACAGUGCCUAAUUCUCGUCCAAUUUCCAGCGUAGGGAAACCGGUUAACAGCACGACGCAACUCGUAGUAUUCGCUGAAACGAGUUUCGAUAAAGUUAACGCCGACCAGUACCGGCGACACUCUGCUCAGACGUUUAGAUAAGUUAACUGUCGCUACGAAUACACGAAUAUCCAUGUAUUAACAUGGAUGUAACAGUGUAUUCGUUUUUCAGCUUCCUUGCACGAUUGAGCUAAUAUCAUUAGAGGAAUUUCAUUAGUUCGAAGUAUUAGCGAAUUCUGACGUACGAUGCUAAUAAUAAAUUCUUUUAUUUUUACUAUGCAAAAUAUAGCGUUUUGUAUAUAUUAUGUUAUCCAACUUAAUUUAAUAGAAAUAUAUUAACAUACAGAUGCGUUAUUAGUUAAAAAUGUGAAAAUACUAAAUUAUAAAUAGCUUUUGAAAAUAUCAUAUUGAGUAUAAAUUAGUUGGAAUAAAAUGUCCAAUGGAAUUUAUUACGCAAAGGGUAUUGAUAUCAUUUUCUUAAUUAUCGACUAAUCAGCAACUUUGUUAUUUAUAUUAUUAAAUUAAAGUCAAGUAAAAAUAUUAAGGUUACAUCUAUCGAUCAAUCAUUCUGUUAAGAUCGUUCGUAAAAUGCACCAAUAAUGUGAAUUAUUUACCUUGUAACUCGUAAAAUUAUACAAUUAUUUGCACACCAGAAUUCUAUCAGCUACAACGACCAUAUGUACAGUAACUUGUAGAUUCACUGAUAUUAAUAACCACUAAUAUUAUUAUUGAAACAUGUAUAAUUUUAUGUGCUAGACUAGGUUAGAUGCGUAGUAGUGAUACUUGUAUGUGAAUAUCAGUGUGUGGAAGUAUGUGUGUGCGCGGCGUUUCGAAAACAAAUGAAUGUAAAGUGUUCAGUUGGUUAACAGUCCGAUAUGGACGAAAGUGUUGAGACGCGUGCAAGUG